CCUACGGGUGGCAGCAGUGGGGAAUAUUGGACAAUGGGCGAAAGCCUGAUCCAGCCAUGCCGCGUGUGUGAAGCAGGCCUUCGGGUUGUAAAGCACUUUCAGUGGGGAAGAAAGCCUUGGGGCUAAUACCCUCGAGGAAGGACAUCACCCACAGAAGAAGCACCGGCUAACUCCGUGCCAGCAGCCGCGGUAAUACGGAGGGUGCGAGCGUUAAUCGGAAUUACUGGGCGUAAAGCGCGCGUAGGCGGUCUGAUAAGCCGGUUGUGAAAGCCCCGGGCUCAACCUGGGAACGGCAUCCGGAACUGUCAGGCUAGAGUGCAGGAGAGGAAGGUAGAAUUCCCGGUGUAGCGGUGAAAUGCGUAGAGAUCGGGAGGAAUACCAGUGGCGAAGGCGGCCUUCUGGACUGACACUGACGCUGAGGUGCGAAAGCGUGGGUAGCAAACAGGAUUAGAUACCCCAGUAGUC
rnacentral:rRNA from 1 species